rnacentral:misc_RNA from 1 species
GCUGAAUUUGGUACUAUACGAGCACAAUUAGUACCAUUGCCCUUAAAUAGUCCUCGAAAGCCCUCAGUUCUCCAAAUAUAUUUCAGGCCUUGUAUCGUUCCAUUAUAUUUUAUGCUAUGAGGAUUCUGGACCUGUAAUAAUAUCUUCAAACGCUCCAAAGGGGCAACAGCAGUUCGAGACACUCCGCCGGCAACUCCACCAGCAACCAGAGAUUUGCAGAUGCUAAGAACGGCAUAACUGGGUGCUUUGACGCCUUCUCUCGCAAGCUUCGCCUCCUCUGCCAGGUUUACGAUCGUAGAAACAGCCGAUUCGCUUCGUUUGACGUCCUCCGAAGCCAUAAAAGAGAUAAACGAUGCAGAAAGCGAAGUCGAGGCUCACCGAAACCCUAAGUCGCCGUAAUUGGAAGCCUGAUCUCAGCCUCCGAAUAAUGAUUCCGGUGAUUAUCGGAGAGCAAGGUUUUGCAUUUCUCUCUUUCGU